CAGUCGCCACGGUAAUACAGAGGAUGCAAGCGUUAUCCGGAAUGAUUGGGCGUAAAGGGCUCGCAGGCGGUUUCUUAAGUCUGAUGUGAAAGCCCCCGGCUCAACCGGGGAGGGUCAUUGGAAACUGGGAAACUUGAGUGCAGAAGAGGAGAGUGGAAUUCCACGUGUAGCGGUGAAAUGCGUAGAGAUGUGGAGGAACACCAGUGGCGAAGGCGACUCUCUGGUCUGUAACUGACGCUGAGGAGCGAAAGCGUGGGGAGCGAACAGGAUUAGAGACCCCUGUAGUCCCUGUCUCUUAUAC
rnacentral:rRNA from 1 species